rnacentral:rRNA from 1 species
AGAGAGAGACAUGCGCGCAUAUCAAUAAGCGGAGGAAAAGAAACUAACAAGGAUUCCCUUAGUAUCGGCGAGUGAAGCGGGAAGAGCUCAAAUUUGAAAUCUUCAAGGUUUUACCUUGACGAAUUGUAGUUUAAAGAAGUGUUUUCUGCUGAAGUUUUGGUAAAAGUUCUUUGGAAUAGGACAUCAUAGAGGGUGAGAAUCCCGUAUUUGACCAUUAUUUCCAGCUUUGUGAUACACUUUCAAAGAGUCGGAUUGUUUGGGAAUGCAGUCCAAAAUGGGUGGUAAAUUUCAUCUAAAGCUAAAUAUUGGCGAGAGACCGAUAGCGAACAAGUACCGUGAGGGAAAGAUGAAAAGAACUUUGAAAAGAGAGUUAAACAGUACGUGAAAUUGUCAAAAGGGAAGCGUUUGACACCAGUGUUGUUUUCUCGAAAAUCAAUUAAAAAUGGCUCGAUUUUGUAUUGUUGAGACCUUAAAAGCUCACUGUACAUUUUUCGUGUCUUUUUUAAUGCACCUUUUCGUUUAACAAGUCAACAUCAGUUUCUUUUGUUGUAAAAGGGUCAUUGGAAGGUGGCUUUCUUUUCGGAGAAAGUGUUUAUAGCCUUUGGCCUCUGCAAUCGAAGAGACUGAGGUCUGCAGCGUAGACUCUUCGGGGUUAGAUACAUUUGUGCUAAGUUAUAGCUUUUUAUAGACAACUUGUUGACUAUAAUUAGUCUUGUAGCUUACUCGCUUAUGCUAUUUUACCUACGCUUAGGAUGUUGAAGAUGUAGCACAUCAU